ensembl:lncRNA
AUGGCCAAGCAUGCAAAAGGAAGGGAGAUAGUAGUAAUGGGGGACUUCAAUUACCCGGAUAUUUGUUGGAUGUCAAACUCAGCCAAGAGCAUAAGGUCAAACAGAUUCCUCACUGCCCUUGCAGACAACUUCAUUGUCCAGAAAGUGGGAGAAGCAACAAGAGGAACAGCCAUUUUAGAUCUGGUCCUAACCAAUGUUGAUGACCUGGUUAGUGGGGUAGAAGUGGAAGGAUCAUUAGGCGCGAGUGAUCAUGCUCUUCUGAAGUUUACUAUACAGCGGAAAGGAGCAGCCAAGCAUACUAGGACUCAAUUUCUCGACUUUAAGAAAGCCGACUUCAUAAAGCUUAGGGAAGUGCUGGGUGAGAUCCCAUGGACAGUAAUACUAAAAGGAAAGGGAGUUCAAGAUGGCUGGGAGUUUGUUAAGAGGGAGAUAGUAAAAGCACAACUUCAGGCAAUACCAAUGAGACGGAAACAUGGAAGGUGCCUAAAGAAGCCAGGGUGGCUAUCUAAAGAACUUUUAACUGAGUUAAGAUUAAAAAAGGAUGUGUACAAAAAAUGGAAAAGGGGGGAAACCACCAAAGAGGAAUUCAAACAAAUAGCCAGCACGUGUAGACACAAAGUCAGAAAAGCUAAAGCACAAAAUGAACUCAGGCUUGCUAGAGAGGUUAAAAGCAACAAAAAAGGCUUUUAUGGGUAUGUUCGUAGCAAAAGGAAGAACAAAGAAACAGUGGGGUCACUCAGAGGAGAAGAUGGUGAAAUGCAAACAGGGCUCACAGAAAGGGCUGAACUCCUCAAUGCCUUCUUUGCCUCAGUCUUCUCCGAUAAAGAAAACAAUGCCCGACCUGAAGAAUUUGGAGCAAAUGAUUCAGCAGAGGAAACACAGCCCAGAAUAACUAAGGAGAUAGUACAAGAGUACUUGGCUAGUCUAGAUGUAUUCAAGUCUCCAGGGCCAGAUGAACUGCAUCCAAGAGUAUUAAAAGAACUGGCAGAUGUGAUUUCAGAACCACUGGCAGUCAUCUUUGAGAAUUCCUGGAGAACAGGUGAAGUCCCGGCAGACUGGAGGAGGGCAAAUGUUGUCCCUAUUUUCAAAAAGGGGAAAAGAGAGGACCCAAAUAAUUACCGCCCAGUCAGUCUGACAUCAAUACCAGGGAAGAUUCUGGAGCAGAUCAUUAAGCAAACAGUCUGUGAGCACCUAGAAAGGAAUGCUGUGAUCACCAAUAGUCAGCAUGGAUUUCUGAAAAAUAAGUCAAUAAGUCAUGUCAGACUAACCUGA